CCUACGGGUGACAGCAGUGAGGAAUAUUGGUCAAUGGGCGUAAGCCUGAACCAGCCAAGUCGCGUGAGGGAUGAAGGUCCUAUGGAUUGUAAACUUCUUUUAUAAGGGAAUAAAGUGUGGGACGUGUCCUGCUUUGCAUGUACCUUAUGAAUAAGGAUCGGCUAACUCCGUGCCAGCAGCCGCGGUAAUACGGAGGAUCCGAGCGUUAUCCGGAUUUAUUGGGUUUAAAGGGUGCGUAGGCGGCUUUUUAAGUCAGCGGUGAAAGUCUGUGGCUCAACCAGAGAAUUGCAGUUGAAACUGGGAGCCUUGAGUAUGGUAGAGGCAGGCGGAAUGCGUGGUGUAGCGGUGAAAUGCUUAGAUAUCACGCAGAACCCCGAUUGCGAAGGCAGCCUGCCGGGCCAUAACUGACGCUGAUGCACGAAAGCGUGGGGAUCAAACAGGAUUAGAUACCCUGGUAGUC
rnacentral:rRNA from 1 species